AUACGGAGGAUCCGAGCGUUAUCCGGAUUUAUUGGGUUUAAAGGGUGCGCAGGCGGGAGAUUAAGUCGGCGGUGAAAUUUUGCAGCUCAACUGGAAAAGUGCCUUCGAAACUGGUUUUCUUGAGUGUAGAUGAAGUAGGCGGAAUUUGUGGUGUAGCGGUGAAAUGCAUAGAUAUUACGAGGAACUCCGAUUGCGCAGGCAGCUUACUAAACUACUACUGACGCUCAGGCACGAAGGCGUGGGGAUCAAACAGGAUUAGAUACCCUGGUAGUCCACGCAGUAAACGAUGAUUACUAGCUGUUUGCGAUACAAUGUAAGCGGCUGAGCGAAAGCGUUAAGUAAUCCACCUGGGGAGUACGUUCGCAAGAAUGAAACUCAAAGGAAUUGACGGGG
rnacentral:rRNA from 1 species